rnacentral:misc_RNA from 1 species
CACGUAGGGGGCAAGCGUUGUCCGGAUUCAUUGGGCGUAAAGGGCUCGUAGGCGGUUUGUCGCGUCGGGAGUGAAAACACCGGGCUUAACUCGGUGCUUGCUUUCGAUACGGGCAGACUUGAGGUAUGCAGGGGAGAAUGGAAUUCCUGGUGUAGCGGUGAAAUGCGCAGAUACCAGGAGGAACACCGGUGGCGAAGGCGGUUCUCUGGGCAUUACCUGACGCUGAGGAGCGAAAGUGUGGGGAGCGAACAGG